GAUGAACGCUAGCGGCAGGCUUAAUACAUGCAAGUCGAGGGGGAUUAGUUUUGUAGCAAUACGAGACUAUGAGACCGGCAAACGGGUGAGGAACACGUACACAACCUUCCUUUAAGUGGGGCAUAGCCCAGGGAAACUUGGAUUAAUACCCCGUAACAUUAUGAAGUGGCAUCACUUUAUAAUUAUAGCUCCGGCGCUUAAUGAUGGGUGUGCGUCUGAUUAGGUAGUUGGCGGAGUAACAGCCCACCAAGCCUACGAUCAGUAACUGGUGUGAGAGCACGACCAGUCACACGGGCACUGAGACACGGGCCCGACUCCUACGGGAGGCAGCAGUAAGGAAUAUUGGGCAAUGGACGCAAGUCUGACCCAGCCAUGCCGCGUGGAGGAUGAAGGUCCUCUGGAUUGUAAACUUCUUUUAUUUGGGAAGAAAUUCUCGCAUUCCUGCGGGAUUGACGGUACCAGAUGAAUAAGCACCGGCUAACUCCGUGCCAGCAGCCGCGGUAAUACGGAGGGUGCAAGCGUUAUCCGGAUUCACUGGGUCUAAAGGGUGCGUAGGCGGACAAGUAAGUCAGUGGUGAAAUCUCCGGGCUUAACCCGGAAACUGCCAUUGAUACUAUUUGUCUUGAAUACCCUGGAGGUGAGCGGAAUAUGUCAUGUAGCGGUGAAAUGCUUAGAUAUGACAUAGAACACCCAUUGCGAAGGCAGCUCACUACGGGAAUAUUGACGCUGAGGCACGAAAGCGUGGGGAUCAAACAGGAUUAGAUACCCUGGUAGUCCACGCCCUAAACGAUGAUCACUCGACAUCAGCGAUACACUGUUGGUGUCUGAGCAAAAGCAUUAAGUGAUCCACCUGGGAAGUACGAUCGCAAGAUUG
rnacentral:rRNA from 1 species